rnacentral:rRNA from 1 species
AGACGUGGGCGCUUCCUGCGCACGAAACAAGCUGUAGGCGGCGGCCAUCCACUGGAAAAUAGAUCCCAAUCCAGCAAACCGGACGCGUCAGGCCCACAGAAAGAGUGAAACGGAUAGAGCAGAACAACUGCUACUAGCACUCUAGCAGAGAGCCCAAGGCAGAGAGGGGGGGAAGCAGCCGCGAGGUUGGUGGUGCGGUGCCCGGGUAGACCACGGCGCACGCCAACCCGGACCCCGCCGCGCCCAGCAUUUCCCCUCGCCGCGCCGCCGAGGAGUACCUCCACCCCCCGCCCCCUUGGACCAGGCGCUAGCAAGUCCGGGAUGGCGAGCGGAGCCGUCGCGCCGCCGCCGCCGCCGCUGGCCGGCGGGCGGCGCGGCUUCGGUGGCCGGGGAGUCCUCCUCCGCCGGCGCCUCGCCGCCACGCCGAUGAAAGAUGAGCCCGUGAUUUCUACAAACAGCGGAAAAGAGGAAAUGAUUGCUCAUAGUGUUAAUGUUGCCAGAAAAGCAUCCAUCCCUAGUGUCUCAUCAAACAUAUCCAAUAGGACACCAGUGACACCAACACCUUUGCAUCCAGCAGAACCAUCCGAUCUCCGUUUCAAUCGUCUUCGACCCUCGAUUGAGAAAAGUGAUUGCAAAUACACAAGAUAUUUCGGUCGCUAUGUUGCUCGGGAGGCUAUAAUGGAUGAGGAAUACUGGAUCGCCGCAUGGUUGAGAGCAGAAGAUCACUAUGAAGAUCAGUCAGGCGAUCGCUAUGUUGAAAGCUUUAAAAGAAAGUUUGCAUCACAGGAAUUUCAUGCUUUAAAGAAGCGAUGUGGCAGGCAGGUUGGAGAGAAGUAUACCUGUUUUGUUGCGGUAAAGAAUGAUGACGUCACACGAACUGUGGUGAAUAGUGUUGUUGGUACAGUAGAUCUAUGUGUCAGGCAUCCUCUACAUGGGGAGACAUACCCUGCGGAGCCUGGAAACACACCAUUUUACUCUAGAAUCUAUCAGCCAGAUCAGCCAAAAUUUGGAUAUUUAACCAAUGUUUGUGUUGCUAAGUAUGCACGGCGUCAAGGGAUUGCCAGCAACAUGUUGUUAUUGGCCAUCGAUGCUGCAAGACUCGAUGGUGCUGAAAGUAUUUAUAUUCAUGUACAUAAGGAUAACUUGCCAGCUCGGAGGCUCUAUGAUCAUGUAGGAUUCAAGGUGAAAGUAUGCCAUCAGUCCUCUUGAUUUAGAAAAAGCAGGACGGUGUCGGUGAAUAUGUUUUACCAUCUUGCACAUGAUAAAAGCUUGUAAAGUUCAAAAUCCUUGGAAUCGUCUACAUGGAGCGACAGUACCGGUGUCCAGAAUGCUGUUGAUGUGUGUGUGGGCUUUUCAUCUGAAUGCUUCGUUUUUUUUAUUACUGUACAGUUUGUGAAGCAAGCCCAUUUGAUGGCUCUGGGUUCAUUCUUGUGAGUCUUGAAGAAAAAAUGUACAUCCAUGCUAACAAACAUCUGUAAUAAGAACUGUGAUUAAGUUCCUUCGGCCAUAGUUGGACCCGGCCUUUUAGUUUUUGAGUCUACAAUUCUAUGUUCGGCAGCCGACCUGACAGGCCAACUGGGGCAAGGUGCACAGCCCGAUUAUAGAUUAAAAACAUCUGAAGAUCAUAAUUUUUUGAUAAUAAUAAUAAUUUCCUUC